GCGGCUAUAGUUCAAUUGGUAGAGCAUCGGAUUUCCAAUCCGAGUGUUGCGGGUUCAAGCCCCGUUGGCCGCUCCA
rnacentral:tRNA from 1 species